CAAUGGACUCGGGUUAUAAUUACCAACAGAGGAGAGAAUAACUAUAAGUUAUUUUGAUGUAAAAAGCAUAUUAUACUAAGCCAACAUAAUAACACAGUUUUUAUGAAGCACAAUAAUUACAUUGAAGACUCACAGAAGUGCAUUUUUCUAAAAGAAGAAGAUUCUCAUAUAGAAACAGAUUAACAGAAACAGAAACAGCAACACUAGAGAACAGCAAAAUGGUAACAUUUCAAAUAGUAACAUUUCAAGAAAAUAUAUACACCUUCACAGUAUGUGAUGGUAUCCACUUACUGUCUACUGCCUCCAUAACUCCUAAAGUCUUCUGAAGAUUCAUUAAUGCUUUGAAUAUAUAAGCCAACAUUUCUUUUCACAGCCUUUUCACAACUGGGAAUUCUUUAGAGAAAGGCAAUCUUACUUCAUUUACUUACUUCAUCAGUAAUGCCAUUACUAUGCCUACCUAAGAAGAAAAUAUGUCAUGUGGCAGAGGACUAGAAAGAAAAAACAGCAACAACAAAAGGCUGUGAAGAUUUGAUCAUAUGCCUAUGUGUGUGGUGAAUACAAUAUUUCUUUAAUCGCAAUCAGGAAUAUGAAUCUUAUUUUGAUGCUAUGACAUAAUAAAGUGGAUUAUUUUCCUGAAAUU
rnacentral:lncRNA from 1 species